ACACGGGGUCACGAGCAUGCCGUCGGCGCGGCGCUGCUCCGGCAGCGCCGAGAGUCCGAAGUCGGAGACUCUGAGGUCCUCGUUCUGGUCCAGGAGGAGAUUCUCCGGCUUGAGAUCGCGGUGGGUGACGCCGCGGCUGUGGCAGUGGUCGACGGCGCUGAUGAGUUGCUGGAAGUACUUUCUGGCGAGGUCUUCGGAGAGUUUUCCUUUGUUGAGUUUGGUGAAGAGUUCCCCGCCCCUGACGUAUUCCAUGACGAGGAAGAUCUUUCCCUUGGUGGCCAUCACUUCCUUCAGUUCCACGAUGUGGGGAUGCCGCACCAGUUUCAUCACCGA
rnacentral:lncRNA from 1 species